rnacentral:rRNA from 1 species
UUUUACAAUGGAGAGUUUGAUCCUGGCUCAGGAUGAACGCUAGCUAUAGGCUUAACACAUGCAAGUCGAGGGGAAACGGCAUUAUGUGCUUGCACAUUUUGGACGUCGACCGGCGCACGGGUGAGUAUCGCGUAUCCAACCUGCCCUUUACUUGGGGAUACCCCGUUGAAAGACGGCCUAAUACCCGAUGUAAUUCAUUGAUGGCAUCAGAUAUGAAUAAAAGAUUUAUCGGUAAAGGAUGGGGAUGCGUCUGAUUAGCUUGUUGGUGAGGUAAAGGCUCACCAAGGC